GACAGAGGGGGCUAGCGUUGUUCGGAAUCACUGGGCGUAAAGGGCGCGUAGGCGGCCGUGUAAGUCAGAGGUGAAAGCCUGGAGCUCAACUCCAGAAUUGCCUUUGAUACUGCUUGGCUAGAGUCUGUGAGAGGGUAGUGGAAUUCCUAGUGUAGCGGUGAAAUGCGUAGAUAUUAGGAGGAACACCAAUGGCGAAGGCAGCUACCUGGCACAGUACUAACGCUGAGGCGCGAAAGCGUGGGGAUCAAACAGG
rnacentral:rRNA from 1 species